GGAAUUCUGAGCGCUGCUGCUGCCCCCGCAGGCGGUGGGAAGAGAGCGUCUGUGCAGGCGGCGCCGGAAUCACGUGGUCUUCUGCUCCCCUCCCAGCCCGGGGCCGCUUCCGGACCAAAGCGAAGCUGCUGCGCUGCUCCAUGCUGAAGGCUCCUGCUCGCAGCUGGGCUGCUCCCGGCAGCCUGCUCCAUGCUGUGAGUCCAGCUGUACCAAGGCUCCCAGCUCCCUGCUGGGAGCCCAGGUGGCUGCCCCACUCUUGGGAGGGAGCAGGGAGGCGAGAUCUGGGCAGCUGACCCACUGCCGGUGAGGAACCGAGAGCUUGGGGCCUUCCAUGCUCCCGUCUGGGAGCAGGGAACCGAGAGUGGGGGUGGGCAGAUGGGCUCCCAGUGGGGAGCUGCCCCUCUUCGGUCAGUGGAAGCACUCCUGGUGAGGACGCAUACCACUGGCUGAAGAAGGGUAGUGUGGACAUGAACUACCGCAGUAAUUACUGCAGUAGCUGUAAGUCGAUUUAAUAUAGGUCAACUUAAAAGUUUUUAGUCUUCUAGACAUGCCCCAAUAUGCAUUCCUUGUUCCUAGAAGUAUAACUUUGCACUUGGCUAUAUUAAAAGAUAUUUUGUUUGAA